rnacentral:tRNA from 1 species
GGGCCCGUAGCUCAGCUUGGACAGAGCACUCGGCUUCUAACCGAGUUGUCGAGGGUUCAAAUCCCUCCGGGUCCG